rnacentral:rRNA from 1 species
UCCUGGCUCAGAUUGAACCGCUGGCGGCAUGCCUUACACAUGCAAGUCGAACGGUAACAGGGAGCUUGCUCCGCUGACGAGUGGCGAACGGGUGAGUAAUAUAUCGGAACGUGCCCUAGAGGUGGGGGAUAACGUAGCGAAAGUUACGCUAAUACCGCAUACGAUCUACGGAUGAAAGUGGGGGAUCGCAAGACCUCAUGCUCAUGGAGCGGCCGAUAUCUGAUUAGCUAGUUGGUAGGGUAAAAGCCUUACCAAGGCUUCGAUCAGUAGCUGGUCUGAGAGGACGACCAGCCACACUGGGACUGAGACACGGCCCAGACUCCUACGGGAGGCAGCAGUGGGGAAUUUUGGACAAUGGGCGCAAGCCUGAUCCAGCCAUGCCGCGUGCGGGAAGAAGGCCUUCGGGUUGUAAACCGCUUUUGUCAGGGAAGAAAUCCUUUGAGUUAAUACCUCGGGGGGAUGACGGUACCUGAAGAAUAAGCACCGGCUAACUACGUG